UAUGCUCUUUUAAACAGUUCUAUGAGACUGGAGUUUACCUCUGUUACCUUUUUAACAUUUUCAUUGACAAAAUGCCGCAAAUGUAGGUAUCUAAAGAAGUCCUGUUUCUCUAAAAGAUAAUUUUCUUUAAUAAUUUCAAAACUAAACAGUUUGUUUCCCUUCAUAAUAUUGCAUAGAGCUGUUAUUCCAUUAUCUCUCCAUUUUUUGAAUCUGGUGUCCAUUUUAUUUGGUGUGAAGUCUGAGUCAUAUCCACACCAUUUAAGGCACAGUAGAUCUCCUUCAAGUUUGUAUUCUCUAAUGAUAUUUUUCCACACUUUAAGGGUCAAUUUGACCCAUGGAUUAUCAGAACUGUUUAUCUGGUGUUGCAGUUUAGAGUCAGCUAUGAUUGCUUGUAUUGGAAUGGGAAAUAUUUUUUCUUCAAUGUCCUCAGGCCUGCUCUUCAGAUCCCAGCGUCACUUCACAACAAUCACUCUAAAACCAUUUCUGUUCUUAGUGCUUUGCUCCGUUAACGACGAGCGCCAGGGAGCCGGCGGGAAUGCCGCACCGUGAAUGAAAGCCUGCCUCGCGGAUGCUGCGUCUCGAGAAGGAGCCAGGGUCUGAACCCUAACCCCUAACCUCUAACCCCUAACUCUAACCCCGAACCCUAACCCCUAACUCCUAACUCUAACCCCUAACUAUAACCCUAACCCCUAACUCUAACCCCUAACUCCUAACUCUAACCCCUAACUAACCCCUAACCCCUAACUCUAACCCCAACCCGUUCGCCAACGAAUCUUCCCAGGCGGCCGACCAGUUCUCGGCUUGGUCCCCGAGUACAGGAGCUGCACGCCGGGAGUCCCCGUGCCGUGCACCCCAUAGUCCAGACAGGGAAACAGAGGAAACAAGAGCCAAGAACUUUAAAUGUGAUGUACUGUUUUAUUUCUAGAAUAAACUGUUCCGCGGCGUCUUGUGAAAGAGAGGGGCUGAUGAGGAAGGGACGAUUCGACUGAAGCCAGCAGCCUUUUAGGGGGGGAGACGGCAGCAGGUGUCUGUCCCGCGGCUCCAGCCUGCUCAUCAAAUCCCAGCGGCAGACUGCAGGGCAGGCAAAAGGCGGCAGCUUGAAAGGACCGGAGCUCUGACAACAGGUUGGGAUGCUGUGACGGCAUGAGCUGCCUGGCUGACUCUACAGACGGUCCCUGGACUGAGGUCUCACAGCUGAUCGCACAUAGACACCAACGUUAUUCAUCGAUCUCGGAGACCGGCUUUUUUUGGUAAAAUUAAGGAAUGAAAUGGAAUAUGUGCAUAUACUAUACUAUACUGCCAUCUAGUGGUAGAAAGGUGAACCCUUUUUAAUGCCUCCUGCUUUCCAGCAGCCGGCUGCAAGCAUGUGUCUCGGUCAGUCUUCAGACCUGUGCUCCAGCCUGCCUGCUGCUCAUCAAAUCCCAGCGCCUCGUAACGUGACGAGAUUGAAGAUUUCCCCAUAAAAUAUGGCAAAAUAUUCAUAAUAAUUAUUCUAAAUCUAUUUCUCUUCAUGAUAAAAGGUGUAGUCCACUCAUGUUGAGCCCAUUAUUGGAGACAUUGGAUGAUUUCACUCUACACUUGAUAACAGUGAAGCUAUGAAAGAUGGGUUCCAUAAAAUAUGACAAAAUAUUCAUAACAAUUAUUCAAAAUCUUUUUUCUCCAAAGUAAGAGGGGUAGUCCACUCAGGUGGAGCCCAUUGAUGUACAUGUUGAACGAUUUCACUCUAUACUUGAUAACAUUGACAAUAUUGAAGAUUGUUUCCAUAAAUGAUAUCAACAUAUUCAUAAUAAUUAGCGUCAAUGUUAUCAAGUGUAGAGUGAAAUCAUUCAACAAAUACAUCACCGGGCUCCACGUGAGUGGACACACCUCUUACGUUGGAGAAAAAAGAUUUUGAAUAAUUAUUAUGAAUAUUUUGUCAUAUUUAAUGGAAAAGAUCUUUAAUAUGGUCACUGUUAUCAAGAGUAGAGUGAAAUCAUUCAAUGUUUCCAAUAAUGGGCUCAACACGAGUGGACGACACCUUUUAUUGUGAAGAAAAUAAGAUUUUGAAUAAUUAUUAUGAAUAUUUUGAUAUAAUGUAUGGAAACAAUUUUCAAUAGCGUCACUGUUAUUAAAUAUAAUUCAUAAUCAUUAUUUAAGAUGAGGUUUUCUAAAUAACAGG